GAUGAACGCUGGCGGCGUGCCUAAUACAUGCAAGUCGAGCGAAUGGAUUAAGAGCUCGCUCUUAUGAAGUUAGCGGCGGACGGGUGAGUAACACGUGGGUAACCUGCCCAUAAGACUGGGAUAACUCCGGGAAACCGGGGCUAAUACCGGAUAACAUUUUGAACCGCAUGGUUCGAAAUUGAAAGGCGGCUUCGGCUGUCACUUAUGGAUGGACCCGCGUCGCAUUAGCUAGUUGGUGAGGUAACGGCUCACCAAGGCAACGAUGCGUAGCCGAGCUGAGAGGGUGAGCGGCCAGACGGGGACUGGGACACGGGCCAGACUCCUACGGGAGGCAGCAGUAGGGAAUCUUCCGAAAUGGACGAAAGUCUGACGGAGCAACGCCGCGUGAGUGAUGAAGGCUUUCGGGUCGUAAAACUCUGUUGUUAGGGAAGAACAAGUGCUAGUUGAAUAAGCUGACACCUUGACGGUACCUAACCAGAAAGCCACGGCUAACUACGUGCCAGCCGCCGCAGUAA
rnacentral:rRNA from 1 species